rnacentral:rRNA from 1 species
CCCCUUUUUUUUCAAAACAUGUCUUAAUGUUAUUAAAUAUUAAGUCAAACCUGCUCAAUGAUUAUUUAAUUAAAUAGCCGCAGUAUAUUGACUGUGCGAAGGUAGCAUAAUCACUUGUCUUUUAAUUGGAGGCUUGAAUGAAUGGUUUAAUGAGGAAAUUGCUUUCUUUGUGUUAAGUGUUGAAUUUAAUGUUUUAGUUAAAAAGCUUAAAUAUUUAAAUGGGACGAGAAGACCCUGUAGAAUUUUAUUAUUUAUCUUAUAUCUAUUUAUUAGAUAAUUUAUUUAUUUAUCAAUUUAAAUAAUUUUGUUGGGGUGACAGUGAGAUUUUUUUAACUCUCAUAUAUUAAUGCUAUGAUUAAUAUUAUUUAAGAUCCUAUGUUAUGGAUAUUUAGAUUAAAUUACCUCAGGGAUAACAGCGUAAUUUUUUCAGAGAGUUCAUAUUGAUGAAGAAGUUUGCGACCUCGAUGUUGGAUUAAAAUUAGGGUUAAAUGCAGAAGUUUAAUUCCUAGGUCUGGGGGGGGGGGGAAUUUUACAUGAUCUGAGGGGGACCGGAGGGGGU